rnacentral:rRNA from 1 species
GACGAACCGUGCAAACGUUGUUCGGAAUCACUGGGCGUAAAGAGCUCGUAGGCGGUUCGGUAAGUCAGGUGGGAAAUCUCCACGCUCAACGUGGAGGCGCCACCUGAAACUGCCGUGACUCGAGUCCGGUAGGGGAGUGUGGAAUUCCCGGUGUAGCGGUGAAAUGCGCAGAUAUCAGGAGGAACACCAAUGGCGAAGGCAGCUCGCUGGGACGUGACUGACGCUGAGACGCGAAAGCGUGGGGAGCAAACAGG